rnacentral:misc_RNA from 1 species
GAUGAAGAACGCAGCGAAAUGCGAUAAGUAAUGUGAAUUGCAGAAUUCAGUGAAUCAUCGAAUCUUUGAACGCACAUUGCGCCCCUUGGUAUUCCGAGGGGCAUGCCUGUUCGAGCGUCAUUAUAACCCCUCAAGCUCAGCUUGGUGUUGGGGCCUGCAGCACUGGCAGCCCUUAAAAUCAGUGGCGGCGCCAUCUGGCUCUAAGCGUAGUAAUUCUUCUCGCUAUGGAGUCCUGGUGGAUGCUUGCCAUCAACCCCCAAUUUUUCUAUGGUUGACCUCGGAUCAGGUAGGGAUACCCGCUGAACUUAAGCAUAUCAAUAAGCGGAGGA